CCGAACAGCCCCAGCGUGAAGUCCUCCGUCCUGGAGGGGGCCGCCACCAUCGCCUCGUCUGCCAGAUCCACCGCCGGGAAAGGGACGGUCGCUGAGGUGCACGGCCUCCCCGAAACGGGAGAAGCGCCGGUCUCCGCUGAAGGUGCUGAGCAGGGCGGGCGCCUCCCCGGCGGACAGCCCGUACAGCCGCGUGCUGCCCCCCUGGUGCAGGGUCGUGGGCACGAACGCCAUUUUGGACACGUCAUCUGGAAGGGGUCAGAGCGGUGAGGCAGAAACAUCUCCAGACCCGGGUGGCUGCCGCCGAGCGGGACGAAAGCCACCGCGUCUCCGUCGCCCCCGAUCUCCACCGCCGCCAUCCACGCCGGCGUCUCCGGCAUCGCCCCGAUCCACGCCUCCGUCGCCACGACCGCCGCCGUCAACACCCAACGCCAUUACGGGACGGGAAUCCCCUCGGGAUUUGAACUUCUCCAACGCAGGCAGCCCUCGCGAGGACUCUAGACCGUAAGCUCGCCGUGGGCGGGGAACGAGGCCGCUAUACUAUUAGCAGUCGGUACAGCGCCGCGCGCGCAGCAAGGGCCCGAUAAACACGAUCGACCGACAA